GAUAAUAUAAAAGGAAUUGUUUUGGCCUUUGAGAAUUAACCCAUAUCAUCAGUAAGAGACGGAUUCAUCAUUGUUAAGCAAGCAAAAAUCUAAUAUAGCCAUUUCUGCAGUAACUCGCAUGACUUCAUUGAACCUAAAGCCAAACUUCAUGUUUAAUGAAAAUCCACACAUUUUCUCCGAAUUAGGACAUCCAUUACGAAACUCGUAAAGUGCAAAUAAAAUGGGAAGAGGAAGAGUACGACCCACAAGCUGCAUUUUAUGCGACCAUUUAAUGUUGCGGCAUGAAGGCUACCCUAAU
rnacentral:lncRNA from 1 species